GUCUACAGCCAUACCACCCUGGUCAUGCCUGAUCUUUGAAGCUAAGCAGGGUCGGGCCUGCUUAGUACUUGGAUAGGAGAAAUAGCAAAAUUUUAUUUU
rnacentral:rRNA from 1 species